rnacentral:lncRNA from 1 species
AUAGAACAUAUUUGAGUCAUUGAAACUUUCAAAUGCACUCAGGUUUGCUCGGUUAUACAUCGCCCAUCCCGGUAGAUCGAAUUUACACAUGCAUAACCUUUGAUUUGGACAAGGGGCAUGUGAUCAAACAAUCAAACUUACUUAUGCAUAACUCACCGUCUUCUAAAUUAUUCUACUCAUCUUCUUUACCCGGUGGGAAACGAUCUUCGUGCGAAUCAUUUGCAAUGUAGUUUUCAAAUCUGAGAUACGACGGCUAAAUGCUGACAACUUAUUAACAACAACUGAGAGACCAUAACCGCCCUCGUAGGAGUUAUGGAUCAUUCAAGCAUUCACCUCAUAACCUCUUCGUGUGACUCGUCCCCCUUCUUGGCCUACAACCCGCCCCUCGAUUCGAG